rnacentral:rRNA from 1 species
UACGUAGGGGGCGAGCGUUAUCCGGAAUUACUGGGCGUAAAGCGCACGCAGGCGGUUCGCCAAGUUUGGAGUGACAGUUGUCGGCUCAACCGACAAAGGACUUCAAAAACUGGUGAACUUGAGGACGAGAGAGGAACAUGGAACUCCAGGUGUAGUAGUGAAAUGCGUGAGAUAUCUGGAAGAACACCAAUGGCGAAGGCAAUGUUCUGGCUCGUUUCUGACGCUCAGGUGCGAAAGCCAGGGGAGCGAACGGG